AUUGAACGCUGGCGGCAGGCCUAACACAUGCAAGUCGAACGAGUGGCGGACGGGUGAGCAUUGUCUGGGAAACUGCCUGAUGGAGGGGGAUACCUACUGGAAACGGUAGCUAAUACCGCAUACCAUCGGAUGUGCCCAGAUGGGAUUAGCUAGUAGGUGGGGUAAAGGCUCACCUAGGCGACGAUCCCUAGCUGGUCUGAGAGGAUGACCAGCCACACUGGAACUGAGAAACGGUCCAGACUCCUACGGGAGGCAGCAGGGGGGAAUAUUGGACAAUGGGCGCAAGCCUGAUGCAGCCAUUCCGCGUGUAUGAAGAAGGCCUUCGGGUUGUAAAGUACUUUCAGCGGGGAGGCGUUACCCGCAGAAGAAGCACCGGCUAACUCCGUGCCAGCAGCCGCGGUAAUUC
rnacentral:rRNA from 1 species